rnacentral:lncRNA from 10 species
CCUCUCUCGGCUUGCACUAAGGAGGAGGUCACGUGAGCACACAGUGAGAAGGCGGAGGACCAUCUGCAAGCAGGAAGAGAGCCCUCGCUAGAACCCCCCACGGUGGCAUCUGAUAGUGGACUUCUAGCUUCCAGAACUGAACUCAUAAAUGUCACAUCAGGCUGCCUCUUGGUGAAUUUUUAAUCAACGGGGAGAAUUUCAGCUACAAAUAGACCAAGAAUCAAGAGGCCCACUAUUGAUCGGUCAAAGUGGCACUUAUGAACCUGAGGUUGAAGCAGUUUGGAUAAAAGGAUUCUGGGCUUUCGAUGGCCCCAGAGACAUCUUUUUCCAUCAAGUCCAGGCUUGCUGAUCGGUACAGCUGAGAACAUGUUGAAUUUGAUGUGCCUGUGGAUAUUUGAGUCUGGAACAUUGAAGACAAGUUUGGUCUGGAGAUGUAGACUGGGGAUAUCUCAGCACACAGAUGAUAACUGAAAUGAUGGAGCGGAUGAUAUAAACUGGAGAGAGUCUGGUGUGGGAAGAGUCUUCCCUGAGGUGGCCGAAAGAUGUAAUUCUUACUCCAAAGACUGAAAUAGAGACAAGAGAAGCUGAAGUUACAGGGUUUUGUCAUUGGGAAGACAGUAGAGUGUGUCAUAUCCCAAGAGUGAAGCAAGGACAAACCAAAGAACAACUGGGAAGAUCUGGGAGAAAAAGGGCCUGUGCUGAGUGCCACAGGGAACAGCAUUUAGCAACAUCAAGCAGGAGAGGCAGAGAAAGCAGCAAUAACUCCACAUAUGACUUGGAAAUUGGCUCAGUCUCGUGGCAGGAGAUGUGUGUUUUUAUGGUGUUAAGUGUGAAGGAGUGAAAGCAGCCAGUGAUCAGGAGCGCCAACGCAGCUCCUUCCCAGGAGCCUUCCCGGCUGCUUCCCCUUUGUGGGAGAUGUGCUGGAAGGAGUACUAAGAGGAGAGAUGCUUUGCUUUAGUAGGAUGGCAGCUUUGGGAAAGAGACGCGAGAGUGAGUGUGCAGAGAGCUUGUUCUGAGUGCAAGAGAUAAGUGGGAUGAAUCCUGUCUUAGAGGCAAUCAAGCAAGAGAGGAUGGGGUGGCAGGCACUUCAGCUCUCUAGCCCCUCCUUCCAGGGCAG